rnacentral:lncRNA from 1 species
CCCAUCUCUCGGCAUCUCAUUUUGCUCCUCUUCAAAACGAGGGUGCAAUUUCCUUCCUGCUUACUUCUUAGGUAUUAAAUAUUUAAUGAGCAGCUACUAUGUGCUAGGCUUCGUGCCAGGCUCCCACGCCUUAAGGCUGUUUUAAAACAAGAGUAACAAUGAUAAUAACAACCGAGCUACCCUGCGCCAGGCACGGCACUAAACGUUUCUCCUCCUCCUUCGUCGCCUUCAUCAUCCUCUGCCUGGCUGACACCAGGUGCAUGCCACGUGCAACCCACCGCUCUACAGGGUUUUGUUCACUUCUGCUUCUUUGUCUUUGGCUGCGCUGCAUGGCAUGUGGAAGUACAGAGUCUUCAUCGCCAGACCACUGGGUGGGUCCCGACACUGCACUGUACUGAUUGUGGAUUUCAGUUCUUCUAUCUGCACAGCAGAGCUAUGAGAGAUUAACUAUUAGGAUCCUUACACUGCAGAAGAGAAAGCUGAGCCUCAGCGAGGCCACGUGACUCCCCCAGGGCAUGCAGUUUCUAGGUAUCAAGGCAGAGAAAUCAGAAGAUGCUUCGCGUGGCAGCAGGAGCUGGGGAGAUGCAGCGAGAUGAGCCAAGGAGCUGGACACCCUCCUGGUCUGACCACAGCCGGAUGGGAUUGAGGCACCCAGACCAAACCUCCAGGAUGCUGAAAGGCAGUUCUGACCCACGAGUGCCCUCUUAGGGAGGAAAAAGGCAAGAGCCUUGGACCCUCAAGCCUUCAGCCCCUUUCUGGGGCACCUGCCAGUUCCCUGCCCCUGGGCCGCCAUGGCACGUUCAGCGGCAUCAGUCCUGCUGACCCCGUCCCUGCGGAGAGAGUCACACUGGGGGACGUGCCGUGGGAGGAACCCUGGUCCUGCAGGUCUCAGGAGGCCCCAGGCCUGUGGGAGAGGCCUUCGCCUUCAGGAGGGAGUGCAGAUGCGAGGUUAAGGCGGCCUCCCGUGGGGGCUGACGCCCCGGCCUGCAGUGCACCCCGCCACCUCCCUAACCAGGGGACCUGGGGAGAGCCGCACCCAGGCUGCCACCUCAGGAUGCGAGUCCCACGAAGAUGGGCUUCUUUAUUUUGCUCACUGAUGUACGUGUGUGGCAAGUCACUUCCGACUCUUUGCAACCCCAUGGACUGUAGCCCCCGGGCUCCUCUGUCCAUGGGAUUCUCCAGGCAAGAAGACUGGAGUGGGUUGCCAUGCCCUCCUCCAGAGGCUCUUCCCAGCCCGGGGACGGAACCCGCAUCUCUUGCGUCUCCUGCACUGGCAAGUGGGUUCUUAACCACUAAGC